GGGAAAGGAGCCUCAGGAAACAGGGAUUGGGAAUAGCUGGGCACGCUUCUGCCUUGGGUUGUGUUCCAGCAUAGGGGUGGUUCCUUAGCCGAGGAAAAUCCUCUGGAGUGGUGGUUUGGGAUUGAAACCCCUUCACGUUGUCAGGCCCCCCCGGUGCUGAUGGGGCCUGGCAGCUGUGGGGGAGCAGGGUUUGUGUUUCCCCAUGGGCCUGACAUUCCCUGCAGGGUGGGAGGUGGGGAGUAUUUCCCAGCUGGUGGCAGGAUCCCCAAAACACAGUGGCUGGGCCGUGACAGGACCUCCCCAUGUCUGGAGGACUCGGAUAUCUGGGAAUGCUCUGGGAAUCCACCAUUUCCCUCCCAGAAAACCCCGUUUCCCUCUCAAAAAUCCCCAUUUCCCCCAAAAAAGUCCCCAUAUUCCUCCCAAAAAACCCUCUCCCCUCCCCACAGAAAUCCCCAUUUCCUUCCCAGUAAAAGCCCAUUUUUUCCCAAGCCUCCCAUUCCCCCCCAAAAAACCCCAUUUUACUCCUAAAGAAACCACUUCCCAGACUGUGGCUGCUGACCUGGGAAGGGGGUUCCACCACUCUCCACUCUCAUUAUCCUCACCAGCACCACUAUUUUUGCCUUGGAAUCAGGGAUUUCCUGUCAGGUGUUUGCAUCCUGGUACAUCCCACUUCCAACCCAGCCGUGAUGUCCUCGAAAUCCCAUCUGGAUUUCUCUGCUCCCUUGAGCUGGUGCCUGCUCCUGCUGGAGCUCCCUCUGCUCUGGCUCAGCUACCCUGGGUCACUCCACCUGUUUUGCUUUAAGUAUUAAAUAUUCCAGGGAUUUUUCUUUCUUUUUUCCCCCCAAAGCACCUUGGAUCCACCCACUGAGGAAGGAACCAGCACAGCCUGAUGUUGCAGAAGAGGAGGGCUGUGGAAAGGGUGUUCCAAGGGCUUUUGGGAAUGUGGAGAGUCCAAGGGAAUGGGUUGGCACUGGGACCUUACAUGUCUUACAUGGCUGGACCAUCUCAGAUCAAUUUGUGCUCUUCCCUCUUCCCAAAUUCCAAAUGCACGUGUGGAGGUGAGUCAGUCUAGUCCAAGGGAUGGAUCGGGAUCUGCCAGCCAUGGAAGGACCUCCAGCUCUUGGAGAACUCCACAAUGUGCUGGAUAACUCCCUGCAACACCAAAGCACAUUUCCCCCAAAGUGCUUCCCGCCCGGUUCCCUGAAAAAAACACAGAGAAACAACAUUUCCCUUUUCCAGGGAGAAAUUUCAUCAGAAGGAAUUAAAAAGGUCUAGUUUAUGGUUUCAUUUAACGUGAUGAAAAAGGGAUUAGCUCCCACCCCCUCCUACCCAAAUCCUGCUGGCAGCCUGGCCUGGAAUUGUAUCUGAGAGCCACAGGAGGGAAACUCUUCCCAAGGAGAAGAGGGAGAGAAAUUCCCCCCCGGAUGGAGGAGCUGUGAAGCAGAGCUGGCCCGGGGUGGCCUUGGUUGGUGUCCCCGGGGUGCCACAGACGGGGCUUUGCUGUGUGCCUGGGAAUGGGCUGGGAUCUGCCAGCUUGGGCUGCUUUGGCAUCUCUCAGGGGUGUUCAGGGCUCACGGAGCUCUGGGUCCUGCAGAGGUGGCAGGAAAGGUGCCAGGUGGGCUUUUCUCUCCCAAGUCUUUCCCCGUUUUUGGCAUUUUUUCAGCCUGCUGAGGAGCACAGGCAGGAAGGACUGGGGAGGGUCUGCCCACAGGGACAUUGGGGUCACAGGGUUGCCUGGAUCCUGCCACGGUUCAGCUGGUUGGGUGGAACCCUCUGCUUGGUGCUCCCUGCUCCUGCCCUUCUCACCAUGGAGCAUGGGACAGGAGAUUCCACCUCUGGAAAGGCAUCCAGCCCUGGAGGACAGGGACUGUGCCUUCUGGAUUAUUUUAUAGGAUUCCAGAAGGGUUUGGGUUGGAAGGACCUUAAAGCUCAUCUCAUUCCAUGAACAGGGACACCUUCCACUAGCCCAGGUUGCUCCAACCUCGCCUGGAACACUUCCAGGGAUGGGGCAGCCACAGCUUCUCUAGGAAUUCCAUCCCAGCCCCUCCCUACCCUCCCAGGGAUGAAUUCCUUCCCAGUAUCCUUCUCAUUUCAGUCUCACUCUGCCCUGCACAGGAUCAGGUGGGGGAGGAAAGGAGAAACAACUUAAAUCCCUGAAAUAACAGAUACGACCCAAAUCCAGAGACAGAAGGAAUUUCGGUUCCCUGGGAAGGACAGCAGAUACACCUGGCACGGCCAGGGAAAAUAUUGGACCUGUGCCCUCUCUGUCUCCCUCUGAACCACAUUGAGGGAGCUCUGGGGGGAAAGGAACAGCCCUUGCUUUCUAUCCACAGAAUCCCCAGAAGGCCCGAGGAGCCCAUUGCAGAGGACUGACUCGGUGUAGAAGGAAAUGGAUGGGAAGUGGGACAGGCUUGGAGCAUCUCCCAAUUCCUGGGCUGGCAGCCUGACCACAGGGAUCACUCUCUGGCUCCCAGCUUUCCCUUGGAUCAGGUUGGAGGCAAGAGCUGCUUCAUUUCUUCUGUGCUUUCAGGUUCCUCUGCUUUUUGGAACACUUUUUGGAGCCCAAGUGUGGGCUGUGCUUGGGAGGAGCUGGGGAUCCACAUCUGGGAAGGAGAAACUGUUUGGAUAAGAAGGAGCAGGAGGUUCCAAACUGGUCUGGCUUUAACCUGGAGAGGGAGAAAGGAAGUUUUCCAAUCCAACUCAAAUAAUCUGGGCAGAACUUCCAAUGCACGUUCCAAAGCUGGAAAUGGAGGGGACCUGAGGUAGGUCCUGGGUCAGCAGCAGUGCCUGGUGUGUAGGAAGGGACAGGAACAACAAAUGGCACUGAUGGAUUGGGAAGGAGCAGCUGGAACACAGUGAGCUGGGCUUUCAUAAUCUUGGAGGGAUUUGGGUUGGAAGGGACCUCGAAGCUCAUCCCGUGAUGCUGUGGGCAGGGACACCUUCCACUGCCCCCCCUCAACCACAUAGGGAAGAAAAAGAUAAGGAAAAGCUCAUGGAUUGGGAUAAGGACAGGGAGAGAUAACUCCCCAGUGACUAUCCCAGGUGGGACAGACUCCACUAAAGAAAUCAAAUCUAUGCCCAAUCCAGUCAGAGCAGGGCAAUGGGAAAUAACCCUGAAUCCCAAAACAUCUUCCCCCACCCCUCCCUUCUUCCCAGGCUCAACCUCAUUCCUGGUUUUCUCUCCCUUCUCCCCUGCAGGGGGACAGGGAAUGAGGCUGCAGUGAGCUCAGCACACGGGGGCUGUGCUGCUCCUUCCUCCUCGGGGCAGGAAUCCUCACACUCCUGCCUGGGGGGUCCCACUUCCACGGGGUCAAUCCCGUGUUAGUUGGGCUGGCCAUGGGUGCACAGCCUUCCUGGGAUGUGCAGGAAGGUUUGUUUGUUCCACUCACACCACGAGUUUUAUUCUUGCUCCUUGAUGCUCCUGGCAGGGCAGGAGCUGGAUCCCAACACAAAUAUCCUGACAGGAGAGCAAAGGGAUCUCUGUUUUGGAGGAUGCUCCAGGAGAACCUCAUUUAAAGGGAUCACAAAAUCCCAGACUGGUUUGGGUUGUGAGGGACCUUAAGGCUCAUCCAGUUCCACCCUCUGCCAUGGGCAGGGACACCUGCCACUAGCCCAGGUUGCUCCAAGCCCCAUCCAAACUGGACAUCCAUGAUCCUGAACAUCCUGGACGCCGGGAAGCCACUGAGCCAGCGGAGAUUUUCCAAUAGUGGCAGGUUUUCAGUGGGAAAGCUGUGUCCCUGCCCAUGGGAGGAGUGGGACAAGGCAGAGGAGAGCAGGAGAUGGCCCUGGGUGGCCUCUGCGUCCCUGGUGGGAUCCUGGUGCUGGAGAGCAGCCCUGGAGCCAGGAGGGAUUCCCAGGCCACCCGAGGUGGCUGCUCAGGUAACCUGGGAGCAGGAAAAGAGCCUCAGCAUUUCACUCCUGUGCUCGGAAGUGUCAGGAAAGGGCUGGGUUUAUGUUUAGCUCCCUCAGGCUGGAAAUGGGAGCUCCCAUUAAUGAGAUCCUUGUCUUUGGGAGCCAAAAUGAAGGGUGGGAGCCCCGGCUCUCUCACAACUAAAGACUGUUCUAUUGUGCUGGGGUUUAUUCCUGCUGCUGGAGCCACCAGGAGCUGUGUGGGAAAGGUGUUAUCCCAUUAAAAUGGCACUUUCUCAGGUAUCACGGGCUGGGUUUGCAUGUUUUGUGGGCUCUCCCUGAGCAGCAGGACCACCCCAAGGCAUCCAGCUGCUCCCAGUGCCGUGCCUGGGCUUCGUGGGAAGCUUCUGUGGGAUGCAGGAGGGCGGGUGGCUCCCUAAGGGGUGAAAAGUGUGCUUGGAGCCCCUCCAGGAGGGAUAAAGUCCUUCUCAGAGUCCUGGAGAUGGCCCAGGGUGAGUGCCACUCCCCUGCAGGGCAGGAACUGUGGGGCAGGAGGGGAUUAAUCCACGUGGACAUGUGUGAUUCCAACUCCUCUGGCUGGAGGAAUUUGCCUUAGGGCUCCUAAGGCUGCUUUUUCCUGGCUGGAACAGGAUUCCGGGUGUUUGGAGUGGUGCCACCUUUGUCUGGCCAAGAAAACCAACAUCCUGAUCUUCCCACCAAGAGCUGGAGCUUCCCUUUGGCUUCCUUAGGGGUGGAGAGAGGAUGGUCUGACAGCUCCUGGGACACUUGGCUGUGCCCCAGACUCAGCUCCUGAUCCUGGAACUGAUCCUGAUCCUGAUCCUUGCUUCUGAUCCAAUGGUGAUCCCAGGGAUCUUUCUCCCUGUCUUCUGGCAGCUGCAAACUGGACAUGGAAUCACAGAGUGGUUUGGGUUGGAAGGGAUCAUAUAAAUCAUCCAGUCCCAUCCCCUGCCAUGGGCAGGGACACCUUCCACUAGCCCAGGUUGCUCCAGGUGGCCUUAGACACUUCCUGGGAUGGGUUUCCAAACCAGAGCUUGAAGUGAAUUCCCACCAGGAAUUAAUGCCUGGGGAUGAUCACUGGGACAACUCUCCAGGGCAGGAGGAGCCAAAUGGUGUUGGGGGGCAGCUAAACUCCAAGUUUGGGGUCAGGACCCUGUUUGCCCUGUCCAGGCCUGGGGGUGGCCUGGGGGCUCCAGCAACAGGGUCAAAUCAGAGAAAUGAUCCGUUUGUUAAACCCGGGAGAACAGGAACGGCUCAGGGAAACUGGGACAACAUUCCUGGAGCAACGCAAGGCUUUUUAAACAAUUUCCUGAUGACUUUGACUGCUUGAUCUUCCAGCCUGAGUAUGGCCCUGGGGUUAUUUCUUUCCAUUUCAUUUCCCAGGGUGCCCUGAAGAGCAGGGAGGGAAAAAUCCAAGCAAAACUUGGUUUGGAAGGGGUUCCAACUCCUCCCCCAGACCCCACCAGCCCUUUGAACCUGCUGAGGCCACUGGAAAGGCUCCUCCUGACCUCAGGGGGCUUUGAAGCCACCCAUAAUUAGGGAUGGACUUGCAAGUAUGAGCAGAAGUCCAUUUGUCUGGCUCCAGGAGAGGCUGGGUCACAGCUCUGGGGGUGGAGGAACCAUCUUCCCCAUCCCUGCUGGAGGCACCACGAGCCCUGUGCCAGCCCCAACCUGGCAGAAGGCAAGGAGAGGCACCUCCUUUUCCAGUCUUUGGGCUGGAUCAGGGCUUCCAACCCACAGCUGGGCUCCAAUCCUCUUCCUAAAGUGCUCCUGGGCAUCGCUGCUUUCUCCUUAGAGCUCCAAGACAAGUGUGGUAAGAAGUUUGUGUUUCCAAGGGGGGAAGUUUCUUCCCUUGGGCCAAGCGCAGAAAUGUAGACUAGAUUUGGAUCAAACUUUCUUUUUCUUUUGGGAUUUUCUUGAAAGAAAAAACAAAACAAACAAACCCAAAAGCUAGUGCCUCAAGCAAGAGCUGAAGCCUUGAAAAUUUCCUCUCCAAAGGAGGACACUGUGUGGAAUUCUGAGCGUGUGAAAACAGGUGGUUGCACUGAAAUGGUUUCACAGGUUGAAGAGCAGAGGGUGCUACCAAAAACCCUGUCCUAAAUCCUGGAGGGAACUCUUCCUGGAAGGCAGAGGCAGGAGAAGAGGCCACCAGUGAGUAACCUGAGCCACUCCCAAAGCCACAGGCGGCUGCAGAAUCGCUGGAGGAGCCAAGGAAAACGAGGAGAGGUUUUCAGAGAGGUCAGGGAGGGAGCCAAGUCCAGGCAUGAGCUUUAAACUCAGGCUUAAAAACUCCACCCCUGUGACUGGGAUCUGGCUAGGACAAAUUGGACUCGCAGCACCUGAUCCAAGACCUGCUGGAGUCGGUGGGAAGCUCCUCCAAGUGUUGGAUCAGAGCCUGGAAAGUGCAGCCAGGAGGAAAAAUGUCUCAGGCUGGUGCUGCAGGUGGGAUGGUGGGGAAGGGAAGGAUUUGUGACAAGACAAGGGGGAAUGGCUUCCAACUCAGAGAGAUUACAUUUAGAUGGGAAGGAUAUUGGGAAGGAAUCCCUCCGUGGGAGGGUGGGGAGGGUCUGGGAUGGAAUUCCCAGAGAAGCUGUGGCUGCCCCACCCCUGGAAGUGUCCAAGGCCAGGCUGGAGCAACCUGGG